GAUGAACGCUGGCGGCGUGCCUAAUACAUGCAAGUCGAACGGACAGACCCUGCUCUUGUGGGGCGCUCGUGUGGCGAACGGGUGAGUAACACGUGAGUAUCCCGUCCUUGACUUUCGGAUAACUUCAGGAAACUGGGGCUAAUAUCGCAUAGGAGCUCUUGCAGCACGGUGGGGAUUGGAAAGUUUCGGCGGUUGGGGCUGGACUCGCGGCUUAUCGGCUUGUUGGUGGGGUAGUGGCUUACCAAGGCUUCGACGGAUAGCCGGCCUGAGAGGUUGACCGGCCACAUUAGGACUGAGAUACGGCCCAGACUCCUACGGGAGGCAGCAGUGGGGAAUAUUGCACAAUGGGCGGACGCCUGAUGCAGCAGCGCCGCGUGCGGGAUGACGUGCUUCGGGUUGUGAACCGCUUUCGCCUGUGACGAAGCCUGAGUGACGGUAAUGGGUAAAGAAGCACCGGCUAACUACGUG
rnacentral:rRNA from 1 species